UGGAGCGCUGGGCCUCCGUGGGGGAGGGGCAGGCGAGAGCACGGUAAAUGGCGCUGUCGGUACUCAGUCACAUCCAGCUCCCCGGCGUGCCCGGCGAGUUCACCUGCUGACCUGGUCGUCUAAGAAACGCCGCUCUGGUUCUGAUCUCGCCAUGAAUUCCACCCUAUUGCCAGAAAUGGGCUGGUUUCCCUUUGUUGUGCAAAAUGACUGUGUCCUUGAGGAAUGUUUGGAGGGUCUUGGCAACCAGGAAUCAUCCAGAAGCAUAUCUGGUGUCAGCUCAGUUGUGUUGUCAACAUUUCAUUUGGAGUUACCUGACCUUCAGAAGAACUUCAUCCAAUAGCCGACGUGUAUAAACUUCAAGGGUCCUGUGUGAAAAGCUCCAGAUUGGGAACCAGAGGAGUUAUAUGCUUGCCUUCAUCCUUCCCAGGGGUGAUAUUGAAGUUACUUUACAACAGAUGUGGCACAGGUGUGGCAAAGGUUCCAACCCUGCAGAACAGAAGCUGCUCAAUGCUGGGGCAGGAGCCUGGAUAUUCCCUACCCGGUGGACCAGUAUUUUGUAGAUGUGAUAAAUAUGUACGAUCCUGUUGACUUUAUAUAGAAGAUAUUAUCCUUGAUAAUCUGAGUGGGACCCCAUCUGAUCACUUGAAGGCUUUUAAGAGCAAAAACUGAGGCUUUCCUCAAGAAGAAAUCUUGCCUCAAGACUGUAGCAUCAAUUUCUACCUGAAUAUCUAGCCUGCCAGUCUGCCCUAUGGAUUUCAAACUUGCCAGCCCCCAUACUGCAUGAGCCAAUUUUUUAAAACAAACUUUAUAUAUAUAUAUAUAAAGACAGAUAAAGCAUAUGUGGCAAAUGUUAACUGAUAAAUCUAAGUAAAGAGUAUACAGGUGUUCAUUGUAGUAUUGUUUUCUCAAAGCUUGAAAUUCUUAUAAAAAAUUGGGAAAAGUUAAAAAUGUAUUCUAAUGAAAUUUUUUGGAAAGGUAAUACAGAUCAAUCAGCAGAGACACAUAGCCUCAUAACAAUACUAGAAUUUAAACAUAAAGAAAAACUCCUAUAGAUAUUGCCUUACAAAAUUAAGAAGAAUAAAUCAGUUUGGCAUCAGAAUUCUCCAUUCUGGCACUAAAAAACUGUAGAUCAAUAUCUAAAAAACCCUUGCGGAAGAGAAAAUGUGGCCCCAAAUUUUAGAACCAUUGAAGUAAAAACUCGUGGAAUUUAGUUCUGAGAGCUCUUCAGCCAACUAAAAGUUGAAUGAAGAAGUUGUUGAGGUAAACAGGGUAGUGGUGAGCAAUAAGUUUAUUUACAUUGUUAAGUUAAUCAGUCCAUUAGUUAUUCACUGAGUACCUAUUAUGCACUAGCUCUGGUGAUCAGCUGUAACCCAGAGGGACAUGGUUCCUUCCUUCAUGGUACUUAUAGUGUAUAGAGGGAGACAGGCUGAUUGAACAAAUACAUAAACAAUUACACUUUACCAAUUGCUAGGAAGGAAACAAAGAGACUGGUAUAUAAAAAAAAUAAUAGAGUUAGGCAGGGAGUGGUACCUCAUUUGGAUAGGGUAGCCACAGGAAAUACCUGUGAUUGAUAUUCAAGUUGGGACAUGAAACCUGAGAAACAGUAAGCCACGUGAAGAGCCAAGGGAAAAAGAAUUCCCUAUGUGGAGAGUACAGCCAGACUAGAUACAGAAUUAAGGCCUGGUAGUAUGAAUGCUCUAAAGCAACCCCACUCUUGUUUGUAGUAGAACAUCCAGCUUCCACAGCAGUUAGUGGAAAAUGUUUCAUCGGUUAGAAAUAAUUUGCCUAUCCAAUUAUAUCCUGAUGGAAAUUAUUUACUUAUAGUCACUUCAAAUUUCCUAUCAGGUUGAUGCUAAAUUAUAUGAAAUAGCAUUUACUGUUGGUGAUGGCAUGUAAGUAGUGAGACCAGAGAUUAAUAUCUUAAAAUACCCCACUGUAAUAUGAUUUGAUAAUUUUAUUUAUUUAAAAGAAUUUUUUUAAUGUUUAUUUUUGAGAGAGAGAGAUAAACAGAGCACUAGUGGGGGAGGGGCAGAGAGAGAAAGAGACAGAAU